rnacentral:lncRNA from 1 species
GUCCCACAUCCUCCUUUUCACCUUUUCCUUCUGCCUAUUAAACCCCUCCCGGUCUCCUCUUUCCCCCUUGUCUCAUCGUUUUCUUGCUUAACUCUCUUCUCGCGCUUUAUUUUCUUUUUUUCCUCCCGCCCCACCUCCCGUAUCUACUUGUAGCCCCUCUUGCCUACAACCAUCCCUCCAUCUUAAACUUUGGGUCUUAUGCCUGUCCUCGGAGCUGUGUGGCUUUUGCCCUUCAUUCCUUGCCCUGAUCUGACCCCUCUCUUUGCUCACUUAUCCCUCUGGGCCUAUCUGCUUUCAGUGCCCUCUCUUAGGAUUGAGUGGGUGGGGCCUGGAGUUUCUGCUUUGCAUAAAUUCUGUAGUACUGGGGAAGUAGGAAAGGUGGAGGAGAUUGCGAAGAAGAGAUUCGUGCAAAGCUGAGUAAGGAUGAAUGGCUCCACCAACACUUACCAUCGUCUCCUGGCACAAGGUGCCUUGUCCUCAGGGGCCUAGCAUGUUGUCCGGUAUUGGAAGAAGGGAUGGAAUUGGAAGAAAGAAGAUUCAUUCCAGAGACAAAAUAGCUCCCCUCUCCUAUUGUAGCUGUUUCCUCUGGGACUAUAAACUUUCUGCUUUCAGGUUCUGCAGCAUCCCAGAUCACAAACACCAGAUCAGGAUGGGAAAAAGACGUUGUGUUCCUCCCCUUGAGCCCAAGUUGGCAGCAGGCUGUUGUGGGGUCAAGAAGCCCAAAUUAUCUGGAAGUGGAACACACAGUCCCGGUAACCAGUCCACUACUGUUCCUGGCUCAAGUUCAGGACCUCUUCAAACCCACCAGCAUGUGGACAGCAGCAGUGGUCGGGAAAAUGUAUCAGACUUAACUCUGGGACCUGGAAACUCCCCCAUCACACGAAUGAAUCCUGCAUCUGGAGCCCUGAGCCCUCUCCCCCGGCCCAAUGGAACUGCCAAUACCACUAAGAACCUGGUGGUGACUGCAGAAAUGUGCUGCUACUGCUUUGAUGUACUCUACUGUCACCUCUAUGGCUUUCCACAGCCACGACUUCCUAGAUUCACCAAUGACCCCUAGUGAGUAAAUUAGACAUGGGACAAUGUGGUCACAGCUUCCUGACAGAGUCUGACUAUAAGGGUUUGUUAGUAGUGGUUAUGAUGUAACACAGCAUACAGUAGGUAGAGAAGUCAUCAUACCACUGGCACCUCCAAAAUGUUGGAAUCCUAGUGAAUGUGAAUCGGAAGUGUUUGAGGGUCAGGCUAGACUGACUAAGAGCUCUCAUUCAUUGGGAGCAGUGCUUUUAGGAAGGUGGUUUUUGUGUGUGUGUGUGUGUGUGUGUGUGUGUGUGUGUGUGUCCAUUUUUAUGCAUAUAUGUAUACUUGUGUGUGCACAGGGGUUGAGGGGAGCAUGCAUGUGUUUGUGCAAGUGGAGGUUUAAGGUUGAUGCUUGGGAAUCAUCUCAGAGUGCUAUUCCUUAUUUCAUUGUGGCAGGGUUGAUCUCACUAACCUGGAACUGGUGGGUAUGGCUAGUCUUAACUACUGGCUUACCUUCUGAAUUAAAGGUGGGCCACCACACCCACUGUCCUUUAUGAGGAUUCUGAG